rnacentral:sRNA from 2 species
GCUCUCCCAUCCCAGCUGAACAAGGGACCCGCUGAGCUCCGGGACCGGCCAUUUUGUGUUCCUCCUGGUUUUCUCCUGCCUCGUGCUGUCUGUGUUUUCCACCAUCAAGGAGUAUGAGA